UACGGAAGGGGCAAGCGUUGUUCGGAAUCAUUGGGCGUAAAGGGCGCGUAGGUGGUUCUGUAUGUCUACCGUGAAAGCAUACAGCUCAACUGUAUUUUGUCGGUAGAAACUGCAGGACUUGAGGCUGGGAGGGGCUGGUGGAAUUCCCUGUGUAGCGGUGAAAUGCGUAGAGAUGGGGGAGAACACUCGUGGCGAAGGCGGCCAGCUAGACCAGUUCUGACACUGAGGCGCGACAGCGUGGGGAGCAAACAUG
rnacentral:rRNA from 1 species